AUUAAUAUAGAUAUAAUUAGAACAGAUAUUGUAAAUAAAACACUAUAAAUUUUUAUAAAUUGUUGUGAGUGUUAGGUAUAACUAUUUCAAUAUUCUAUAUCAUACAUCAUACUUAAGAUGUUGAUUUUGUUGAAGUGUUAUGUUAUUAAAUAUUAAGCUUUGCAUUCAUAAUGUGCGACAACUUUAAUGUAAAAUGUAAUAAAAAAUAUAAAGACAUUUUUUUAGUAGUCAAUUGUAUUGUAAUAUGAUCAAAUUACGACAGAGUUAUCAUAUUUUCACUGUUGAAUAUGCAUACAAUUCUUAUUAAAUACAAAGGUGGAUCAUUACGGAUAGCACAGUUUCAUCAUCAUCUUGCAUCCAUUUAAAAAAAAAAUGGAAAUAUAGACCUAAAAUAAGCUAAUGGAGGAAGAUCAACAGUCCUGAAAAAUUGUUCCAUAAAUUUAAGCCUACGGUGAUACUUAUUUCUAGGCUGACACUCCAAGUAACUUAGGGCAUGUUCAUUAUCAGUUUGUAGCCCCUAUUCUUAUUUUCAUUUUAAUAGUACAUGUGUAAUAUAUGUUCGGCGAUCCUAAACCUUAAAUCAAAUUAUAAAAUGUAUUAAAUAGAAUCUAUUUGACAGUAAUAAAAGUUAAAACAUGUUAAACACAUUUUCUAUAAAUUACAAAACAAAUUAUAAAAUAAUAUACUACAUGUCCUCCAAAGCAUAGCAAAUAAAAUAUAUUUUACAAACACAUAUAAGGCAUAUGUUAAGUUAGUAGAGGCAAUUUUUCUUGUAAUCAUUAAGACAUAUGAAUUGAUACCCCCAUACACACACACAUAUUAAGUACUUCUAUCUACCCCUAUCUAUCUAUCUAUCUAUAUAUAUAUAUAUAUAUAUAUAUAUAUAUAUAUAUAAAGUUGGGAUUUGAGGAGGUGAUGUGGCAUCAUCAUUUCUCAUCUUUGUAUAUUCUCUAUUAUCUAAUAAAUAGAGAAAUUAUGAUCCCAUUAACAACCUUUAGCUUCCCUAAAAUUUCCACUAUCUCACAAGGAAUUAUGAUCGAUAAUUUUUCAUUAAUUUCAUGGAGUGAUUAUGAACUAUAAAAAGAGAGCUCAUCUUUUUGCUUUGUACACACACAAUUGGAAUGAAUAAAAUCACUGUAUAAUAUAUUCUCUCAUUUUAUUCUUUAUCUUACUUUGCUUCUUUAUUUGUAUUUCUUUUAAAUUUGGCUUUUCGUCUUCUCAUAAUUAAUUUAAUUGUUAUUACAUAAUAACAAUUAUGUAAAGAUUUUAAUGAGACAUAUUCUUUAUAAUGAACAUACAAGGGGGAGUGUUAUGAAUUUAUUAAAAUAAAUGUAGAUGUUCAUAACAUAUAUCCCUUAAUCUCCCUACUAUCUCACAUUAACAACCUUUAGCUUCCCUAAAAUUUUUACUAUUUCACAAGGAAUUGUGAUCUAUAAUUUUUCAUUAAUUUCAUGGAGUGAUUAUAUAACUAUAAAAAGAGAGCUCAUCUUUUUGCUUUAUACACACACAAUUGGAAUGAAGAAAAUCACUCUAUAAUAUAUUCUCUCAUUUUAUUCUUUAUCUUGCUUUGCUUCUUUAUUUGUAUUGCUAGCUAAUAACUUGUUUUAUUUUUUAUAAGGCUGCCUCAUCUUAAAAAAAAAUAAUUCAUAUUUUUUAUCAGUUUCAUCAAGUGUAAAGUAAGAAAAAAUGAUAAUAUUAAAUUCUUUUUUCAAAGCCGCGUGAAACGCGGUUCUAUUUUCUAGUUUAUUAAUAGAAGGGAAAUUAAAAUCGUAAUUACCUCGAUAUAUUAUGAAUUGAUAUGUCACAUAUAAAUAUCAGUGAAAAUUAAUUUUUAGAUUAAUGAAGUAAACCAUGUAUAGACCAAUGGGCAUUUGGUCCAAUGGGAGAAGCCUUGCACUUACAAUGUUGAGUGCAAGGGUUCGAGCCUCUAUAAGAGCUUUACGGGGGUUAAUUUCAGUACUCCCUCAAUUAUCAACAUAAUUGAGUGGAGACAGUCUCUCCCUUAUGAAAUGUAAUGUGAGUGGAGUAGGCACCCCUCGAAUAUUAGAGAGGGUUUAAAAAUAUAUGAGCAAGUGCUUCAAUAUGUCAAUGUAUAGCGGUGGUCCCAGUUAUAUAGUAUGAUUGUAAUUAUUAAUUGUAAUGUCUGAUGUAAUGUCAGUAAUAUCUGUGUAUAACAGACUUCAAAAAAAAAAAGUAAACCAUAUAUAGGCAUUUAAUUAAUCUAAGGUCAAACGAAAUAUAUCACUUGACAUUUCAUGCAGUAGUCCAAUUUUUAACACUUGCAUAUAGUUUUGUAUGCUAAUAAGCCAAUGAAAUAUAUAUACCACAUGAGAAAUUGAAGAGCUAUUAUUUAUAUUUCACUAUUGGACAAAUAUGGAUCUUCCAAUUCUCUUCCAUGGCCAUAAAUUAGAAAAAAAAAAUCACAUAGUAGAGACUACAUCCGUUCGCAUGCUCUCAAAAUAGAUUUUGAAAUUAGUUUUGCAUGCUUUCAAAAUAAAUUUUGAAAUUAGUUUGAUUACAUGAUAAUCAAAUUCUCUUAUAACAUUAAUGAUAUAAUUUAAGCAUUAUUUUAGCAAUUGUGAGUUUUACAUUAAAUCUUCAAAUUAAUUACAUAUUGUCACUCUUUCU
rnacentral:lncRNA from 1 species